ensembl:lncRNA
CCUCUCUCUCUCUCUCUCUCUCUCUCUCUCUCUCUCACUCUGUCUCACUCUCUCUUAUUUUCUCUCUCUUAGGGUGAUAAAGGAAGUCGUGGGGAACCGGGCAUUCCCGGAGUGGGCAGUGGGGCAGCAGUUAAAGGAGAAAAGGGUGAACCAGGACGUCUCGGACCUGCAGGACCUCAGGGCACACCUGGUUUGACAGGACAGAAAGGAGUCAGAGGAGAACCUGUGAGUUUGUGUGCAUUCACUGCUUGUGUGCUGUUUAUUUGUGUGUGUGUGUGUGUGUGUGCGUGUGUUAGUUUUAUGUCUAUGCAUUUGCUUCCCAGCCUUGAGCGUUU